AUUCGAUAUCAGUUCCUUCAUACAUGUACUAAUAUGUUACAGUAGACAAAUCAAAAUGUCGGUCUGCAUAAAAUGUUUAUUUUUUCUCAUCAUUUUUAUGGAACUUGAUUUUUUCAUUGCAGCAGGUAAGAAUGAUAAUUAUAACAGCACAAGAAAUGUGCCUGAACAUCGUCAUGCAUGUACUAUUAGUAUAUUAUUUAUACACACAAUUCAAAAACUAAAACACUGGUCCUGUCUGUCAAUUCCAGUAAACGAUCAGGUGACAUACAGUUGGCGCUUUACAACUAAAUGAAAGAUUCUAUUAACAUUUGAUUUUAUUUCAGUCAGGCCCGUAGCCAGGAAUUUUUAAGGGGGGGGGGGGUUCGUUGACUCACAAACUCGACUUUACAGUCACAAUUCGAACAGAACAUUGACUUUAACAGUGCUUAUUUGUUUUCAAACUCUGAUUGGCAUGAAUGUGUAUUUAAAAUUGAGAAUGGAAAUAGGAAAUCUGUCAAAGAGACAACAACCCGACCAUAGAGCAGACAACAGCCGAAGGCCAUCCCCUAAGUCUCCGGGUACCCCUUGGGUGUAUUUUCAUACCCAUCCCCUGCUCCUAACCAUAUUUGUGCAGUCAACCUUAGAACCUUUUAAUUGACAGGUUGGUAAAUCCCCCAUGACAACAAUUUCCUAAUUUUCAAAUAAAACACUAGUAAAACAGAUUCGUUUUAUUUUGUCCGUUCAAACACAUAUAUUGUCAAGUUUAUCACGCUAUCAAAUAAUUUUGUGGAUAAAAACAAAUGAAAGCGACGACACGUUUAAUGGAAACCUAAACAAACAAUUACAUGUAUCAUAUGAACAUGUUGUGCUAAAAUUCAACAAAUAAACAAAAUAAAUACCAACAACUUACAUGUAUACAUGCAAUGCACAUCUUUUAAUUGAUUGAUUUAUCAUUGUUUGAUGCUUAUAUCGUUCUAGUAUUAAGUUGUUGCAUUUUUGUUGUCAUUUUAGGAUGUUAGUUGUGACAUGCAUGACAGAACAAAUUCUUGUCCGAAUGGGUUUUGUUGCGUUAGAGACCAGUUUCUUCCCCAAUAUGUGUACUGCAAGAAGAUAGGUCAGCAAGGAUCUCAUUGUCGACAUGUUCCAGAUGAAUCUGUGUGUAACUGUGACAUUGGACUGACAUGUGUUCCAAACUUAGACGUUCCUACGUUUGUCUCUAUUUAUGGCACGUGUCAUAAUUUAACAACAAAAACAAGGCAAUAAAGAACAAAUAUCGGUUAAAUGCAGUCACGUUUGGAUC
rnacentral:lncRNA from 1 species